rnacentral:rRNA from 1 species
AUUGAACGCUGGCGGCAGGCCUAACACAUGCAAGUCGAACGAGUGGCGGACGGGUGAGUAAUGUCUGGGAAACUGCCUGAUGGAGGGGGAUAAAUACUGGGAACGGUAGCUAAUACCGCAUACCAUCGGAUGUGCCCAGAUGGGAUUGGCUCGUGGGUGGGGUACAGGCUCACCUGGGCGGCGAUCCCUAGCUGGUCUGAGAGGAUGACCAGCCCAACUGGAACUGAGACACGGUCCAGCUGCCUACGGGAGGCAGCAUGGGGGAAUAUUGCACAAUGGGCGCAAUCCUGAUGCAGCCAGGCCGCGUGGAUGAAGAAGGCCUUCGGGUUGUAAAGUACUUUCAGCGGGGAGGCGUUACCCGCAGAAGAAGCACCGGCUAACUCCGUGCCAGCAGCCGCGGUAAUUC